rnacentral:rRNA from 1 species
AUUGAACGCUGGCGGCAUGCCUUACACAUGCAAGUCGAACGGCAGCACGGGGGCAACCCUGGUGGCGAGUGGCGAACGGGUGAGUAAUAUAUCGGAACGUACCCUGGAGUGGGGGAUAACGUAGCGAAAGUUACGCUAAUACCGCAUACGAUCUAAGGAUGAAAGUGGGGGAUCGCAAGACCUCAUGCUCCUGGAGCGGCCGAUAUCUGAUUAGCUAGUUGGUGGGGUAAAGGCCUACCAAGGCAUCGAUCAGUAGCUGGUCUGAGAGGACGACCAGCCACACUGGGACUGAGACACGGCCCAGACUCCUACGGGAGGCAGCAGUGGGGAAUUUUGGACAAUGGGGGGCAACCCUGAUCCAGCAAUGCCGCGUGAGUGAAGAAGGCCUUCGG